GAUUAUGGCUCAGAUUGAACGCUGGCGGCGUGCUUAACACAUGCAAGUCGCGCGUGAAAGGACUUCGGUCCGAGUAAAGCGGCGCACGGGUGAGUAACGCGUGGAUGAUCUACCCAUGAGUUAGGAAUAACGGCUGGAAACGGUCGCUAAUACCAAAUACGCUCCGAUUUCAACUUCGGGGGAAAGGUGGCCUCUGCUUGCAAGCUACUGCUCAUGGAUGAGUCCGCGUCCCAUUAGCUAGUUGGUGGGGUAACGGCCCACCAAGGCGACGAUGGGUAGCCGGUCUGAGAGGAUGACCGGCCACACUGGGACUGGAACACGGCCCAGACUCCUACGGGAGGCAGCAGUGGGGAAUAUUGCGCAAUGGGCGAAAGCCUGACGCAGCGACGCCGCGUGAGGGGAAUGAAGGUCCUCGGAUCGUAAACCUCUGUCAGGAGGGAAGAACCGCCACGGUGCUAAUCAGCCGUGGUCUGACGGUACCUCCAAAGGAAGCACCGGCUAACUCCGUGCCAGCCGCAGC
rnacentral:rRNA from 1 species